CAUAUAUUCUCCCUGGCUCUUGACAUGAACACAAGCCCAGUCUCGAGAUUGAACAGUGAGCCGUCCCCCAACGUCCUCUACCCAAAUCUUUGGCUAAACUCAUGGAACAAAUAGUUUUCAUUGCUUCUCUUGAGAUUUUUAGAGGAACGGUCAUUUUCUGAAAAUGAUGUGACUCUUGUCUCUUUCUUUCCAGUAUGUUAGCUUGUUUUGUAUCCAUGUCUAGAACCUGCAGAGUAAAGUUCUAUGACAGGUGAACAGUUGAACAGACCUCACUGCGAUUUCCUCCUGGGAGCCCGGAGGCUGGUGUGUGUUGGGGGAGAAAAAGAGACUCUCCCAAUUCCAUUUGUCUAGUUUAUAGGUGGCAUGUGAGGAUCGCGGUGCAAACCCAACGAGUCCAGAAAUGCAGCCCAGUGGACAGAAUGCAGCUUCCUUCCCCUGCUUUCCAGAGCUCAUCGAAUGGUGCUGUCAUGCCAGCAUUGAUUGUGAACAGAUUUCAGGUACUUCACCUCCAUGACCCCCUCGGAUCAGCGUGACAAUCACUAUUCCCAUUGGAGAGAUAACGGGACUCACAGGGAUAGCAGGAUUUUCUCCAAUAGAGCAGCUAUCGCUUAGUCAACCCUGUUAAUUUAGAAAUAAACUCUUCUUGCUCUCUCCUUCAACACAGAUUUGUCACCUGUGUUCUUUUACAUAGAUCACAGGCUUAAUCGGAUUCUCCAAUAACACUAAAAAGGAAAGAAAAUAUGUAGUGAUGAAUAUGGGGAAUUUGCAGAACGUUAAUCCAUUCUCAUACAUUCAGCUCAUCACCCCAGUCAUAGGAGCUUCCUGUUCGCCUGUUCUGACCUGUGGUAGAGAUAAACUGUGUAUGUCACCUAACAUGCCCGGGAAGACAAGGAAGUCACAAAAUAAAGGAAAACAAUGUAUGUUUUCAGUUUAACUACAUGUCAGGCAAAAUAAAUAAAUAAAAAUGUUGC
rnacentral:lncRNA from 1 species